GGCUGCAUAGUGCAACGACUAGCACAUUCCAUUAUACCGAAAUUCGUUUUGAGGAGAGAUGUCGGUUCAAAUCCGACUGUGGCCC